rnacentral:rRNA from 1 species
GAUGAACGCUAGCUACAGGCUUAACACAUGCAAGUCGCGGGGCAGCAUGGGGGUUGCUUGCAAUCCCCGAUGGCGACCGGCGCACGGGUGAGUAACGCGUAUCCAACCUGCCCUUCACCACGGGAUAACCCGGCGAAAGUCGGACUAAUACCGUAUGUUGUCCAUUGACGGCAUCCGAUUUGGACGAAAGGUUUGGCGGUGAAGGCUGGGUAUGCGUCCGAUUAGCUGGACGGCGGGGUGACGGCCCACCGUGGCGACGAUCGGUAGGGGUUCUGAGAGGAAGGUCCCCCACACUGGAACUGAGACACGGUCCAGACUCCUACGGGAGGCAGCAGUGAGGAAUAUUGGUCAAUGGGCGUAAGCCUGAACCAGCCAAGUAGCGUGCAGGAUGACGGCCCUAUGGGUUGUAAACUGCUUUUAUGCGGGGAUAAAGUGGCCCACGUGUGGGUUUUUGCAGGUACCGCAUGAAUAAGGACCGGCUAAUUCCGUG